GCCUUCGGAAUCCGGCUUCGAAGCCGGCCGCCUGACCUGGGGCAAGUGCUUUCAACUCUCUGAACUUCGGUUCCUCAUCUGCCAGUUGGCAGACGCUCAGCAAAUCUUCCUAGACUCACGGGGCGAAUUGUACAGUUGGGUAAAUCGAGGCCCAGAGAUGGCAAAAGGACCGUCCAAGGUCGUACAGCCACCCGGAAUUACAAUUCUUUUCUGCCGGGUCACACGCUGUCAUCCACGUGUUACCUAAGAGAGCUUUCCAGCCUGUGCUAAGAAAACUGCCCCACAUCAUCUGCAGUAGGACGGGGGAGUUGGAGCCCUGGUCAGGCCACUCUGCUACUGACCACAGUUUUCUCAUCUCUAAAAAGGCGCAGUAACAAUAUAAUUACCGUAUGCAGUCCCCCAGGAUACAGGGUCAAAGGAGAGCACAACCAUCGCAGUUGGAAGCCCAUGGGGCAGGGCCCAGGACACAGUGAGCAUACAAUAGACAUUAGCUGCUGUGGUGUCUUGAUUUCAAGCCCAGUGCAGAUGCAUCUGACUUACGAAACUUCAGUGACACCUGCUCUGUGCCAGACACUGAAGAUGGAGCAGUGAACAGCACUGACCCAGCCUGUCCUCCUGUUGCCUGCAGGCCAGAAGCAAGGUCUCGCUGUGUUACCCUGGCUGGAGUGCAGUGGCUACUUACAGGCAUGAUCAUAGCAUACUGCAGCCUCGAACUCCUGGACUAGAGCAGUUCUCCUGCCUCAGCCUCCAGAGCAGCUGGGACUGCAGACACGCACCACAGAGCCCAGCCUGAGUCAUUUUGAUUCUGUAACUGGCUUCCUCUCGGCGGGCAGGCUCACACCCUCCACCCCCAGCUGGAGAUGGAAGGAGGAUGCUCACCGCCCAUUCCUCAUGCAGGCCAUCGAUGGAAAUGUCAGACAGUGCGAGUCCACGCCUGAACACUUCUGGGGUCCGCUCUGGGACUGACACUGGCAGAUCCAUCGUGGCACCCGAGCUCUGUGAGGGCAAGACUUUGUUCGGUUGUGGGCUAUGCCCCCAACCCCUCGGACAGUGCCUGCACAGGUGGACAUUUUUGUUGGAUGAAGGAUUUUCUGUUAAAUGUGUCUGGCACACACAGAAAAACAAAGCCCAGCAGAUGCCGUUCCAUUGUUUGCUGACUUUCAUUGAUUCUAUGAGAAGUCUGCAGUCUUUUGCAGCGUUGUUUUCCUAUGUAUAAUUGUCUCCUCCCACCCCACUCACCCCAGCUGCUUUCCACAUUCUCUCUCUUUGAUUUUCAGCAGUCUGCCCAUGAUGUGCCUAAAUAGGACUUUCUUUGCAUUCAUCUUGGCUGGGGCUCACUGAACUUUCUGAAUCUGUAGAUUAAUUUUCUUUUUUCAAUAAACCUUGGAAUAUUUUCAGCAUAA
rnacentral:lncRNA from 1 species